UACAGAGGGUGCAAGCGUUAAUCGGAUUUACUGGGCGUAAAGCGUGAGUAGGUGGCUCGCUAAGUCGAUUGUGAAAGCCCUGGGCUCAACCUGGGAAUUGCAGUCGAUACUGGUGAGCUAGAGUUCGGUAGAGGGUGACGGAAUUCCCGGUGUAGCGGUGAAAUGCGCAGAUAUCGGGAGGAACACCUAUGGCGAAGGCAGCUCGCUGGGACGUUACUGACGCUGAGACGCGAAAGCGUGGGGAGCAAACAGG
rnacentral:rRNA from 1 species